rnacentral:lncRNA from 1 species
GUCCACACGGACAUUAUAGAUGAGAAUUGUUGAAUCAUCCAUACCAAUAGCGAUUAUGUUGUUAUCAGGCGGAUAGAAAACAAUACAUGUUGCUGCAGGUGGGGAUUGCAUGAAACUUCUCAUUCUCUACAGUAAUCGAGCAAAUUGGAAAUGGUAGGUUAGUUAUUUCUAUAUGUCGAGCAUCCUAAAGUUCAAUGAUAUGAGAGCUCUAAGUUAGGUGCUACCCUGUGAAUUGAACAUAGAACAUUUUGCCAAUCUUUCACAAGCAUCCAAAGCAGCUACAACUUUUAGUAUUACCUUAAAAAUCAACAUGUUGAACAAAGAAACCAUCUUUCCAGAUGCUGAGACAACAUAAGAAUCAUUCUUGGACAAACAAAAGCACGGUGAGACUAAGUCGAUGUUACUUUCGGGAAGGUCAUUGAUCAUCAGCAACCCACUCUUUGGUUGCCACAGUUGAGGGACACACUUUGUAGUUGCCUGUUGCAGCAAAUACUCAGUUACUCUUUAAACAAUGACUGGCUGAUCAAAUCGAAGAUACAUAUAUACAAGCACUUGCAUAGGUGCAGAGAGAGAGAGAGAGAGAGAGAGGCUCAAAAUGCAUUCCAUUACAGCAAAACAGUUGAAUUUGAAUCUAUCCAAACUCAAAUCUCUUUAUACCAUUUUUUCUCACCAACUCCAACGUUUGUGUCUACACAACCAGUUCUUGAAUGCAUGCUCAAUUUCUUGAUAUCUUCAGACGUGUUCGGUGCAAGUACCUUUUUUCUCUCGCUAAACCUGUCCAAUAUUGUCUAAUCCAGCCUACCAAACAUGCCCUCAAUUUUCGAUCUGGAGGGGCGCAGUCCAUGUACUUUCAGAUUCCAUGGGUUCAAUGAUGACGACUCCACCAUCCGAUAACCCUAAGGCAAACUGGUUUGCCUUUUGUGGAUGAGCGGCAACCACCAGUGGAUAUACACGAGUUCUGCAUCCACCAUAACAAAAAUCAAAUUAAGCACCCUUGACAUGAGUGAAUGUCACACACACACAAAGUUGGAUCACUGAUGCUGAAGAACAUGAAUUCUGCCAGAAUUUAUGACAAAUUGGCGAAGUAAAUUACACUUUUUGCUCGUUGUCAAGAAAGGUAAAAAUGCAGUUAAGCUCCAUUUCGUUUUAGAUUUAUAAAAAAUAAAAUUCAGGAAAAUAUGUAUUGGUAUAGAAGGAUUUUGUCCAGACUUUCCAUCCCCUUUAACAGAACUAGAUAGUCCUUUUGUCCGAAAUUGCCAAAACUAAUUAAUUUUCUUGAGACAUUUUUGUCAGCGAGACUUUACUAUGGACACGUGCAGUUUUGCAAACAUUGACUGGAGAAAGAGAUGUGACUAAAAACCAUGAAUAAUGCAACUAAAUCAUUGAUACAGAAUUGAUUUUUUUAUAAAUUGUUGGUUGGGUCAAACGGAUUCAACUAUCAAGUACCUGAUAUGCUGUGGAAGGUAAGCAGAGGGAUCAAUCUCAAAUCUUGGAACGAGAUCUGAAGCACCGAGUAUCAGAACAAUUCCAUCCCUCAUGACAGUGUAUAACAAUUCAGCAUCACAAGAAAAUGCAGCAUGGGCAAUCCGUGCACAGAAGUUUCCAACGACCCACUGAAAUUAUAGCAUACGUAAAUUGUAAAGUCACGUGUAUGACAGCAUCGAAGCACUUCUCUUCUAAACGUGUCAAAGAGAGGAAGAGACCUGCUUAACACACUGUAGUUUUGUUGUUUCGUAUAUUGCAAGUUGAGUCUCAUGUACAGCAAGAAAGUGUCUUUCAUCCUUGUCAAAUUGGACAUGAGUCUCCGAUAGUUCUGAAGGUAACCAACCGGAGGAAAUCUCUAAAAAUGUGUUGUUCUUUUUCUCCCACGUGAUUGAAUCCCAUACAACAAUCUGCAGAAUAAUGGAGGAAAAAUAGAUUAUUUAAAUAUGUUUACGACAACAAUCUUAAAGUUGGCAACCUCGAAAAAGUCGAUCAAUUGUAUCUCUCUACGUCAAGAUUGAUUUUAUUUUCAAACUUGGAAAAUGUAGUAUUCAUAGAACUGUAUGGUAUAAUAAACAAGAUUUUAGUUUCUUUUUUCUUAGUUCAUACAAUCUAGUACUAUACAAUUCUCCCUACCAAGCAAGCCAAUAGCGUCUAAAUAAUAUAUAUUUGACAACCUGAGUUCAUUUAAGCUGGUAAAUAAAUUAUUAUACUUGAAAACAUUUAUUGAUUCACAUUCAAAGGAGGAAUCUGGCUGUCCUUCUGCACGAUCAACCAAUAGAAUAUAUAGAAUACCAACCUGAGCAUCCAAUCCAGAAGAGACAAGUACAUUUAACACGGUUGAGAAAGAAAGGCUGCUAAUUCUCUUAGAAUGGCCCUUAAGCUUAUUUGUCAACUGCAAAAUGAAGGCAAUGGCUAAAUGCUGCACAUUUCUUCUUAAUCUUUCUAACUCUAAUAUAAGUGAAUGUUGGACACAUAUAUCAUACCUCGUCCACACGGACAUUAUAGAUGAGAAUUGUUGAAUCAUCCAUACCAAUAGCGAUUAUGUUGUUAUCAGGCGGAUAGAAAACAAUACAUGUUGCUGCAGGUGGGGAUUGCAUGAAACUUCUCAUUCUCUACAGUAAUCGAGCAAAUUGGAAAUGGUAGGUUAGUUAUUUCUAUAUGUCGAGCAUCCUAAAGUUCAAUGAUAUGAGAGCUCUAAGUUAGGUGCUACCCUGUGAAUUGAACAUAGAACAUUUUGCCAAUCUUUCACAAGCAUCCAAAGCAGCUACAACUUUUAGUAUUACCUUAAAAAUCAACAUGUUGAACAAAGAAACCAUCUUUCCAGAUGCUGAGACAACAUAAGAAUCAUUCUUGGACAAACAAAAGCACGGUGAGACUAAGUCGAUGUUACUUUCGGGAAGGUCAUUGAUCAUCAGCAACCCACUCUUUGGUUGCCACAGUUGAGGGACACACUUUGUAGUUGCCUGUAGCAGCGAAUACUCAGUUACUCUUUAAACAAUGACUGGCUGAUCAAAUCGAAGAUACAUAUAUACAAGCACUUGCAU